rnacentral:lncRNA from 10 species
GCCUUUCACCAUGGUUGUGAGACCUCACCAGCCACAUGGAGCUGUCAUAAGACUUCAUGUUGAGGUGUCCUUUUACUGGGAAGAAAAGAACAUCUCUAAGGACAAAGGGUCACAGAGAAGAUUCUAAACAAACAGGCUGUACUAUGUCUCCCACAGUUUAUCACCAUCAGACUAUACAUUUUUACCGAAUUAUAUUUCUCCAUGACUAUCCACUUCAUCAAAUCUAGCAUAAAAAAUACACACGUUUUCCUGUUUCUUUGGAUCUUCAUUUCCUUAUGAAGGCUCCCAUGUCAUGUAAAACUUACAUAAAUUUGUAUAUUUUCUUCUGUUAAUUUGUCUUUGUCAGUUUUCUUUUCAGACCCAGCCAGGGACCCUAAGAGGACUGAGGAAAAUCUUCUUCCCCACAAAAGAUAAAAUAUAUUUAAAAAGAACUUGGGCAAACCAGAGUCACUUAGGACUCUGCCUUGAUUUCUUUAAUGUAAUAUGCUGGAGUUGGAAUAGAUCAUCUCCAAAUCCCUUCCUGUUCUCAAACUCUGUGUCUUAUGAUAGUAUUUUUAGAUUUCUACUGUUUCAAGGAAAACCAAGGCUAGAUGUUUAAUCAAACUUUGUUUAUUUUCCGCAAGGAAUAGAUAUGUAGUCUAAGUCAUUUUGCUUCAACCACCAGUUUUCAACACACAGAAUUAAGAUAUUAUUUGACCUCAAAUUGUCACAAAGUGUGAAAAUGCAGUAUGCAAUUUUAUAUGCUUUCUUAUGUCUUCUGCGCAUUCUGUAAGUUUUUCCUAUUUCCCUUCUUCCCAUGGUUAUAGACUUCAAGCAUCUGAAUUUUAUUUUAAGUCAAUUGGAAACAUUAGGUUGAUGUGGAUUAUACACAGGGGAUCUGAAUGGGAAACUUGUUUAUUUCAUCCAUAUGGGUUUAUUGUAACUUCACCAGAAAAGCCUACAAAAGAGCAACUCAGUGA